rnacentral:rRNA from 1 species
GAUGAACGCUGGCGGCGUGCCUAAUACAUGCAAGUCGAGCGAACAGACGAGGAGCUUGCUCCUCUGACGUUAGCGGCGGACGGGUGAGUAACACGUGGAUAACCUACCUAUAAGACUGGGAUAACUUCGGGAAACCGGAGCUAAUACCGGAUAAUAUAUUGAACCGCAUGGUUCAAUAGUGAAAGACGGUUUUGCUGUCACUUAUAGAUGGAUCCGCGCCGCAUUAGCUAGUUGGUAAGGUAACGGCUUACCAAGGCAACGAUGCGUAGCCGACCUGAGAGGGUGAUCGGCCACACUGGAACUGAGACACGGUCCAGACUCCUACGGGAGGCAGCAGUAGGGAAUCUUCCGCAAUGGGCGAAAGCCUGACGGAGCAACGCCGCGUGAGUGAUGAAGGUCUGCGGAUCGUAAAACUCUGUUAUUAGGGAAGAACAAAUAUGUAAGUAACUAUGCACGUCUUGACGGUACCUAAUCAGAAAGCCACGGCUAACUACG